AACUUAACGAUAAUUAAGGUUAUGCAUCCCCUGCCCAAUGGAUUAAUUAUUUUAAUGGCCGCAGUACCUUGACUGUGCUAAGGUAGCAUAAUCACUUGUUCUUUAAUUGAGGACUAGAAAUGAAUGGGGCCACGGGAACUAGCUGUAUUUAUUAUAUUUUUGACAAAUUGCUAAGGAGGUGAAAAUACCUCCAGUUACAAGAUAGACGAGAAGACCCUAAGAAUUUUAAUCUUGUCGGUAAUUUAUUAUCGAGAAGUUUUCGUUGGGGCGACGGAUUAACAGAUUGUAUAAACUUAAUUCAAUGUUUUAUUAGUAGACAAAUCUUUCUUUAAAAAUCUUGAAUAAAUUACCUUAGGGAUAACAGCAUAAUCUUUUAUAAGGGUUAUGACCUCGAUGUUGGAUUAGGGAGUAUAUUAGGUUAACCAUCUUUAUUAAUAAAUUCUGUUCGAAUUUCUAACCCU
rnacentral:rRNA from 1 species